ACGGAGGGUGCGAGCGUUAAUCGGAAUCACUGGGCGUAAAGCGCACGUAGGCGGUGCUGUAAGUCGGAUGUGAAAGCCCUCGGCUCAACCGGGGAACUGCAUUCGAUACUGCGGUGCUUGAGUGCGGGAGAGGGAGGCGGAAUUCCAGGUGUAGGGGUGAAAUGCGUAGAUAUCGGGAGGAACACCAGUGGCGAAGGCGGCCUCCUGGCCGGCAACUGACGCUGAGGUGCGAAAGCGUGGGGAUCAAACAG
rnacentral:rRNA from 1 species